UCAGUGCUGCACUUGAAAUGCCUCAGGCCACUAUCAAAAGUAAGGCUUAAUACUGGAGCUUCCGUUACUGCUGCAGUGUUUUUAUUUUUCAGUUUCAAAUGUAAUGUUAAUGUGUAGGCGUUCUUUUUUAUGUUGGUAUGUGAAAUGAAUGCACCCAGGAAGGAAGUUCUGGUAAUGCUUAAAAGGGCCAAAAUAAUAAUGCACAGAAAAGAGAAACACACGUGUUCAUUUCUCAAAAAAGGAUUUUGGAUGAUGGUGUCAGAUCUCCCUGCUUUCAAGACAACAUACAUCAGAAGUUUUUCACAACUAAUGGAUCAUGACAAGCCUCUUUUCAAAUGUGUUUUUGAG